AGAGGAUGUGGCAUGGCUAGAAACAUCCAUAGCAGAGCUAUGGAGGCUUGGCACCCGGGGAAGUUAAGACCAAAGUUAGCCUCUUAAAGAUCAGAGAGGUUCCAGGAACUGAAUCCUUUUCUCUGUGGAGAGGGAGUGGAGACUUACUGGAGAGAUAAACACACGCAUGCACAGACACACACACACACACACACACACACACAGAGAAAUAGAGACAGGGAGGAAGUUUACAUUAGUUGGGAGGAUUACAUGCUCAGAUGACUUCAGCAUAAUUAAAGAGGAAAGCAUUUUGAAAAUUGCAUUUAAGAAAACAUCACAUUUAGGUAGGAUCCUGGGUUAAUGCAUGGCACUAUUAUUCUCCGUGUUGCAAAAAAAAGACAGAGAAGCGAGGCUGCCCCCCACCCCUCCUCUUCCCUCUGAUCCAUAUUCUUUGACUAUAAAUCAAGAGUUGGCACUCUAGAUAAACAAGGUUCUGGUCAUUAAUACAGGCAAUGAUCCUCCUAGGCUGCGUGCCGGGUCUCUUCGGAGCCGGCUUGUGCCACAUUCCUAUGGCCUCAGUCAAAAACGCUCACCCUCCGGGAUCUGAGGCAGUUACUUUUCAUUCAGUACUAACGGGCGGGCGCAUUUAUGUAACAGAGCGCAGGUAGGGAGAGGGGAAGCCCGAGACCUCGGGGGCAGCGGGACUAUGCAUUUCUUUCAUUUUGUGUGGGUGGCAGGGGUGAAAGUGGAGGACAAAAGGAACCCUGUCCCAUUUCCUGCUUGUGUUUUUCACUUGUGAAUAAGCACUGCCUGGGAUCACUUGAAAGAUUUCUUCAUCUGUGGUCCCUUGUGUGUCGCAAGGGACACAUUCCCUCUCCAGAACGAGAACAGAGAGAUGACUAAACAAGAGAAAUUCCGUGACUCCAUCUUAAGAGCUUUCUCAGACACCUCUUUCUCCUGCCAGAGCCUCUCUUGCCAGCUAUAUGCAGUUUAGUGUCUUGGGGCUCGGGGUGGAAGGACACAGAAAUCGAUCCAUUCGGGUCCAUUUGGGGCUAGCUAAGUAGCAAUCCCGAUGUUGCUGUAGUUCCUUGUAACAACUACCUACUUGACAUCUUUCAUGAAACAAGGGGCAAUGCAGUGAUCCUGAACAACUUGGAGGAAUUUACAAGAAAAACCACUAUCCAAAUUCAGAGGAAAAACUGUGGGAGUAGAAACACAGAAGAAAAACAACUGCUUGAAUACAUGGGUCGAGGGGAUAUGGCUGGAGUCAUCCUAUAUGACAAAUGGUUGUUUUUUAGAGAGGAAAAAUAUCUACACAACUGAUCAAUAUUUUGGAAAAGUCCAAAAACAUGUGCAAUGAAUGUAAAAUAUCUGUGGUUCUCCUGCCUCUAGAAAGGGGUGGGUGGGGGUAUCUUUUCAUAUAUUUCCAUUCAAGUCCUGUUUGAUCUUUAUAAUUUUGUUGCAUUUGCUUUUGAUUGUUUGGUGUGUUCUUUGGUUUGUUUGUAGUGUGUUUUUUGUUACUUUUUUGUAGUUAUUGACUGCUGACUUCGCUGUACAUCAGUUCAUAUAGAUCUUUCCAUGCUUCUCUGUAUUCAUCGUACCUAUCAUUUCUUUUACCCUAAUAAUAUGGCACUACAUUCAGGUACCACAAUUUUUUUACCCAAUUGAUAAGAAUCAACGUUAAUGUCAGCAAACCUACCGAAGCUCUACAAAUGAACAAAAACACAGGUUAAAACAUUUUAAUUUGAUGCAAACAGCAGAAUAUUGGUGUUAUGUGCAAAUGUGGUUGGAUAGGGAAGGUACCUUCCUUUUAGCUUUUACUCUAACUCACAGUGUCCUGCCAUCAAAACUCCUAUGCCUCUCAAGCCUGGGUUUUUCCUCUCGUUCUCUCUAAAACAGAAAUGCUAUUAGUUAGCCUCUACUAAUUUCAGAAGUGGAUUGAUAUGUAAUUAAGAGCUGUAAAUGGGUUUUUUUUUUAAUUUCCUGGAUAAAAGACACUACUGUGAAGUUUUAUUACCUGCUUACUCAACUUUUUAAAAAAUUUAUCUGAGUUCCUUUAAUUAAAUAAUUAGUUAAAUAAAAGUCCUCUUUUGGGAGGGGUCCAUAUAAACUUUGUUAUGUAUCAAUCUUACCUCCCUCAAUAAAAAUUAAAAAAGGAAGGGAGUCUCCAAACAUGCAGAGCAGCAUUUUAUUUGGCUCAUUACUAGAGGUUAUUAACCAGGUCAAGAUGGUAAGAAUUUGAAUUUAUUCAUUUUUCUGAAUAUAUUGCCUGAUAGUAAAAAACUCGACCAAGUCCUUGUUCUUGGAGCAGCAUACAACACUAGAGAACCCCUAUGUACCUUUCUAAUUCCAGAUAAUUGAGGCCUGGAAUAAGAUGCUAAUGUUAAUCCAUUUUAAAAGGAAUUUGGGAAGGAUAACCUAAAAAUUCAUAUACUUCUUCCAUGACCACUGUGAGGAUUCCUGGAACAUAUUUCUCCAUGUCCUUGUCCUCAUUCCUAUCCCCACUUUUCAGAAGGAGAAAACAACAAUAACCUUACUUUACCCUCUUCAGAAAUGAUUAGAUUUUGGCCUAAGCUAAACUAUUGUGCCAAUUUAAAACUAGGUAGAGGAGAAGAAUGACAUGGGGCAGAAACAAAAGGAAAUAACCCCAGCCAGAAAAAGUAAUAAUCAUAAUUUAAAUAGAUGAGUAAGUAGAUAGGUAGGUAGAUAGGUAGGUGGGUGGGUGGGUUGAUAGACAGACAAACAAAUUGACUGUGGAAUAAUGGAUAAAAGAGCUAGCUUUGAGUAAGGACAGCCUGGGUAGGAAUGCCACUCCUGGUACUUAAUGCCCAUGUGACCCUGAGCAAGUCAUCUAAAUCUCAAGACUCUAAGUUGCAAAUCAUUUGCCUAUCUACAUUAGUAGAAGGAAUUUCCACACUAGCAAAUUCUCAACACUGAUGAAAUCACAGGUAUGAACUGAUUCAUGAUUUUAGUAACAACUAAAAUUUACAUAGUGCCUUAGAUUUUAAAAAUGCUUUAUAUUUAUUACCUCAUUUGAGAAUUACAGCCAAUCUAUAGUGUAGAUCCCAUAGGCAUUAAGGUCUCCAGUUUACAGAUAAGGAGACAGAGAGGUUAGAUGGCAAGUUCACGGUCCCAGAGAUAGAAGAUGUCAGAAGCAAGCAUUUGAACAAAGGUCUUUUUGAAUCCAAGUCUAGCAUUCUACCCACUACAUCACUUUGCCAUGAAUGGGCUCUUUGUUUAUUUUCUUUGCAUCUGAUCUUGGCUAGUCAAUAUUAUCCCUCCUAAGAGACACAAACCUCCAAUCUAAGAGAUAUUGGGCAAUUCCAUGGUACAAUGGAUGGAGCCCUGGGCCUGGAAUCUGGAAUUUUAAUCUGGCCCCAGAGACUUCCUGGGUGUGUGACCCCUGGACAAGUGACUUAACUUCUAUCUCCCUCAGUUUCCUUCAUCAUCAAGUGGAGAGCAUAAUAGCACCUAGGGUUGUUGUGAUGAUCAAGUGGUAAAGUGACUGGCACUUAAUAAAUAAUGUUUGAUCCCUUCCCUCCUUUUAAGCAUGACCCUGUGUCAAAAAGGAGACUCAUCACUCUCCUUGUCACCAAGGAUGAAAACAAACACAAAGAGAACCCCUUGACAAGCAUCACAAAAGCCAACACAUUAGAAAUGAUGCUUCCGAAUCUUAUAAGAGAUCAUGAAUUCACUCAGAUCCCUCAACACAUAAAACUUUGGGUCUGAGUAUUGAAUUUGUCUAUUCUUUCAGAUGUGAGCUUUGGAAACCAGCAAUUGUUUGUUUCCAAAAUGGAGACCUUCAUCAGGUGGGUGGUCUUGGGUUAUUUUUUUUUUAAUUUGUCUCCCCCUUACCCCCUUUUCAGGAUUACCAAAAGUCUUGUUUUUUUGCUCUCACAGCAGAGCUCUAGCAGGGCUGUUCUUACAGUCCAACUCUGUAGGGCUUUUCCCACAGGCCUUGUUGUUAAGGCGGCUCCAUUUGCUACAGAAAAACCUCAGCAACUCCACGGGGAGAUUCUGAGUUGCAGCUGUGCACCCCCUCCCUUCUGCAGCUAGCUUUCAUCAGUUUUUGUGGGGGUUGAGCAUGGCCUGACCUCCAGUCUACAGCGUCUCUCAGGUGGAAAGCUCUGUUCAGCUUGUCUGUGGCUUCAAAGGAUUUCCCCUUUUCUAGCUAGAACUGUCAUUGAUAAUGGUUUCCAUUUUGUCAGUGUGUGAUCUCCCAGCAGCACCCGGCUUUUCUUUGACAGACGCCUGUUUGUUUGGUUCAAUUUCUUUGGCCAAACUCAAACCACCUUUCUGGUUGAGAAAGCACAUUGACAUCUUCUCCCAAUCAGGCUUCUUUGAUUGCUCAGACAUGGUUUUCCAGCUGAGACAAAGGUUACCAUUUUGGGAGAAUCCAAACACCUGGUGGAUUCCAGUUUAUGAGUGUAAUAGAGCAGACGGACAAGGCAAAGGAAUUCCUCAGUCUGGGUAUCUGUCAGAAGACAAACAGAGAACCUCUCUUUGUACCUCUAAAGGAAGAACCAUUGUUUUAUGUUCUAACUCUUUACGGAAAUCUAGCCAUUAUUGAGUUAGCAUAGUGUCCAAUUCCAGAGCAUAUAUUUAGUCUUCAAGAUUGGGCAUAUGAAGGAACCAGAAGUAUUGAAAGUCAUAUGUCCUGGGUAGUUUAAUACACAGAGCUUCUAGGCAGGGCAUUGAACCAAUGGGCUCCCAAGGUCUUUCCUCUUUAUUUGUACCACCUGUGAUUUGGUGAGAAAUGGUCCUGUUGCCCGCUCUGGUUGCUAAACAAUCAGCUAAGUGUUCCAGGUUUAUUCUGGUCAACCCCAGGGUCAGAUCUCCCUAAAUGGGGGACUCCCAGCUACACUCCUAUGCCCAGACUACCAACGAGCCAAUCCCACCUACGCUAGGCAUCAAAGGAAGGCAAGAUGACAAAGGCAACCCAGCAGAAGAGGCAGCUAAGGACCCUGCUGUCUCCCCAGGAAGGCCCCAGCUAAGUUUCCCCCUCUGUCUUUGGGCCAGCUGCGCUUGCUGCUCAUUAACACAGACAGGGUUAGGUUGCAUGCUGCCCUUUAGCUUCCUCAUAUUUAAAAGGAGGGCGGCCAAGGACAACAAGAGUUGUCAAUGCAGCAUCCUUCUUCCCCAGCCUGAUAGCAGAGCUGUCUUCCUUCCUUUUGUUCCUACUCAAAACAAAUCCUACAGUAGAACAAUAACCAAAUAACCACAGGAGGAGGCCAGAGGGGAAUUUAUUAUGCUCUGUCCUGUGGGCAGAGCCCUAGUUGACAUUAUCUUGCAUAGAGGUCUGCAUGGAAGGAAAUCUGGCAGGGCCUUGGGGCUGUCUUCCUGAUUGCUCCUGUCCGUCUGUCCUUGUCCCCAAUGUGCCCUUCCCUAUACACAGAUAGUAUCCUCAGAUGGUCUGGGAAGAAAUCUCAAAAUCCCACUAUUACUGUCUUCUAGUCACAGCCUACACUAAGCCUUGGUGAAAGAGAAGUCCAUCUAUUUCUCAUUAGUGCCCUAGCUUUUCUUUAGUAAAGGAGAAUAUUAUUUUAGAGACAUAGAAAUCCCUUUUCGGUUGCCAGGCAGUUAUAAUAUACCAAUCCUAGUCCUAUGCUGGGAGGAUGGAGAAUGGCAGAAUUUUUCAGACUUAGAAAGCAUCCCAAUAGUCAUCCAGCCUGACUCAUACCUGAAAAAGAAUUCUCAGGUCCAUAAAGCCAACAAAUGGUUAUCCAGCCUCUCCAAGGAAGGAGAUCACCCCAAGCCAAAGGUAUCACAUUCUACUUGGGGCUAGUUCUAAUUGUUACAACAUACUUCCUGACAUUAAACCCAAAAUUACGUCUUCAAAACUGUGUGAGAAUUUACUAGUCUCACCCCCUACUCUUUUGGGGUUGCAGCUCAAUUCCACCCUUUGAGUUAAAAACAAGAUCUGAGUCUUAAUUUGUAUAAGUGGGAUACACACACACUCUAGGAGGACACCAGAAGCCCCAAGCACCCCCAAGACGUUUGCCUAUUGUCCCACUGAACUCCUGGCAUCUAGAAGUCCAGCCUCUGACCCAGACUCAGGUCAAAUCCAGCAAAUCAGAAAAGCUCAGAAAAGUGACAUCAUGGAAGAUAUUAGUUUCAGGACCAGGGAAGGAAGGGGCUCUUUUGAGUUGGAAUCAUAGUGAGAUGAUACUAGGGGGCUAGGAAAGUGCUAGUUAGGGGAGCCCCUGCCCUCAGCCUGCCUGGUCAGGGGGAGAAGACAUGCAAAGGGAACAGCUAGUCUUGGGUGACUGGUAUCUUUUCUUUGUCUGUCUUGCUUUUUAUUACUUAAUAAAUAAAUAUAAAUUAAGAUACAGUUUCCAGAGAAUUUUCAUCUAUUGCGCUUAGUUCUUAUACAUAUGCCACCCCCCAAGGAACCAAACAAAACAAGUCUAAUCUUUCCACCUAGCCACCCUCCUGUCGUCUGACAUCAUUAGGCCAUUUUUGAGAAGGCCUAAUAUACUUUACCUUCAUUCUGGACAUUUAGAAAACUUUGAGUCAUCUCAUCCUCCAAAUACUCACCAUUACAAAAAAGCUCUUCUAAACUCCAAGCUUGCUUCUAUUAAGAAAAUUAAAAUCUUGCUCUAUGGUAAAAAUGAAUAAUGUGGAAAUAGAUAUCAAAUGAUAACUUUUGUACAACUCAGUGGAAUUGCUUGUUGGCUCUGGGAGGGGGGGAGGAAAAAGAGGAAGGAAGAAAAUGAAUCAUGUAAACUUGGAAAAAUAUUUUUAAAAAUAAAUUUAAAAGAAAAAUUAAGAAAAAAGCAAAGAAAAUUAAAAUCUUAUGCAGCUUCAUCAUACAG